UUGGUUGCUAUAUCCAACAAAGACUCCACGCUUUGCCUUGACGUCUAGCUUCCUCCUCUUUUGAUUUGGGAUAUGUAUGUAGCAUAUGCUACCAAACAUUCUCAUGUGUGACACAUCUGGCUUGUGUCCACACCACUUCUCUAUAGGAGUGACAUCUUCUUCUAUUGCCUUUGAUGGCAGACGGUUUUGAAGAUAUGAGGCAGUGUAUACCGCUUCUGCCCAUAACUUGAGCGGUAAGUCUUGCUCUGCCAACAUCGAUCUAGCCAUCUCCACCAAGGUCCUAUUCAUGCGCUCCGCUGCACCAUUUUGUUGUGGUGAAUAAGGCAAGGUGACUUGCUUAUUGAUUCCUUCUUCUUCACAGAACCGGUUGAAUUCUCGUGAAGUGAACUCACCACCUCCAUCUGAUCUCAGUGUCUUGAUGGUACAAUCCGACUGCUUCUCCACCAUUGCUUUGAACUUCUUGAACAGUGAGAAUGUCUCUGACUUUUGCUUCAUGAAGUAUACCCAACACAUGUGAGUAUGAUCAUCCAAGAAUAGCAAAAAGUAUCGGCUUCCAUCAACAGACUGGUGCUGCAUCGGCCCACAUACAUCCGUAUGUACAAUCUCAAGCUUCUCUCUUGUCUUAGUUUGAGAUUCCUUUGGGAAGCUUUUGCGUGAUUGCUUUCCAAGUCUACACGCCUCACAUGCUUCCUUCUUGACUUUAAACUUUGGUAAUCCCUUUACCAAGUCUUUGUCUUGCAUUUGUUGCAACCUUUUGUCGCCUACAUGACCAAGUCUCUUGUGCCAUGUCUCCAUCUUUCCUUGCUCACUAGCGCUCAAGGCCUCUUCUACCUGAGCCGAACUCAUCCUGAUUCGAUAGCUUUUGUGAGUCAUUGGGAUAUCCAUUAUCCUCCUUCCUUUUGCAUCAUCUAUGAUGCAUCUCUUCUCUUGGAAACUCACCCGGUAUCCGCUUGAAACAAUUUGUGGAACACUCAACAAAUUUUUUGCCAAACCCGGAACCAAGAAUACAUUUCUGAUGGUCUUCUUGCCACCUUUGGUCAUGACGGUAAUGUCUCCUUUACCGGCUGUCAUGACUGUGCUUCCAUUUCCAAUCUUUAUUGGAACCUUGAUACUCCUAUCAAGCUUUGAGAAGUAACUCUCCUCCUUUGUCAUAUGAUUAGUUGCUCCACUGUCUACUAACCAGACAUCUUCCAUCACUGUUGUUGCUGCUUCGCUCGCACUGAACAACAUGUGAUCUUCAUUUGAAUCUUCUUCGAGACUCACAUGUGCCUUCUCUUUCUUCUUUGAGUAGCACUGAUUUGCAAAGUGGCCUAACUUGCCACAAUUGUAACACUCCUUGUUACUUCUGUGAUCCUUCUUUGGAUCUUCCUUCUUCUGUUUCCUCCAACACUCGCUCUCAUUGUGGUUGUUUCUCUUGCAGAAACCGCACCACUUCUUGCCUCCUUGGCGCUUUGAGUUGUCUUGUGUAACACCAGAAUUUUUGUGUUUAACACGAGCAUCGAAUGCUCCUUCACUGGUGCUUUCUUCUCUUGCAGCCAGCCUUGCUUCAUGAGCCUUCAAGAUCCCGAUCAACUCUGUCAUCUUUGUUGAAGUCAAAUCGCUUGUUUGCUCCAACACACUGACUAUGCUAUCGAACUUGGCUGGGAGAGAGAUGAGUAUCUUCUGUAUGAGUUGAACAUCUGACUUCUGUUCACCAUGAUAAGUUAAUUGAUUUGCCAAUUCAACUAUCUUAUCUGUGAAGACCUUAAUGUCUUCAUUCUCAUACAUCUUCAGAUUCUCAUACUCCCUUCGCAAUGUUUGAAGUUUAAUCAAACGAACUUGAGGAGAGCCUUCAUACUCCUCCUUCAAUGCAUCCCACGCCUCUUUGGAUGUUGAUGCUGCUGCAAUCCGUGAGAAUAUNNNNNNNNNNNNNNNNNNNNNNNNNNNNNNNNNNNNNNNNNNNNNNNNNNNNNNNNNNNNNNNNNNNNNNNNNNNNNNNNNNNNNNNNNNNNNNNNNNNNUUCUUCAUCUCCACUACUAGUAUCAUGAUCAUCAUUUUGAAAAGAAAUAGGACUGAAAGUACCACCAAAUUGUUGUUCCUCAGGACUGGAUGCACCUUCGGUUUGUUCCUCAGGACUGGAUGCACCUUCGGUUUGAUCCUCAGGCGAUGAGAGUCUUCCAUAGACAACUCCAAUGUCCGUCCUCACUUCUUCUUGCUUUUGUUUCCAAUCCCACUUCUUUCCUUCUUCAAACUCGACAUCUCUUGAUACUUCAAUCUUCUCAUUCUCCAAAAUGAGAAUCUCUAAUAGCCUUUGGAUUGGUUGCUAAUAUCCAACAAAGACUCCACGCUUUGCCUUGACGUCUAGCUUCCUCCUCUUUUGAUUUGGGGAUAUGUAUGUAGCAUAUGCUACCAAACAUUCUCAUGUGUACACAUCUGGCUUGUGUCCACACCACUUCUCUAUAGGAGUGACAUCUUCUUCUAUUGCCUUUGAUGGCAGACGGUUUUGAAGAUAUGAGGCAGUGUAUACCGCUUCUGCCUAACUUGAGCGGUAAGUCUUGGCUCUGCCAACAUCGAUCUAGCAUCUCCACCAAGGUCCUAUUCAUGCGCUCUGCUACACCAUUUUGUUGUGGUGAAUAAGGCAAGGUGACUUGCUUAUUGAUUCCUUCUUCUUCACAGAACUGGUUGAAUUCUCGUGAAGUGAACUCACCACCUCCAUCUGAUCUCAGUGUCUUGAUGGUACAAUCCGACUGCUUCUCCACCAUUGCUUUGAACUUCUUGAACAGUGAGAAUGUCUCUGACUUUUGCUUCAUGAAGUAUACCCAACACAUGUGAGUAUGAUCAUCCAAGAAUAGCAAAAAGUAUCGGCUUCCAUCAACAGACUGGUGCUGCAUCGGCCCACAUACAUCCGUAUGUACAAUCUCAAGCUUCUCUCUUGUCUUAGUUUGAGAUUCCUUUGGGAAGC
rnacentral:lncRNA from 1 species